AUUGAACGCUGGCGGCAGGCCUAACACAUGCAAGUCGAACGAGUGGCGGACGGGUGAGUAAUGUCUGGGCAACUUCGCGAGGGAGGGGGAUAACUACUGGAAACGGUAGCUAAUACCGCAUACCAGCGGAUGGGCCCGGAUGGGAUUAGCUAGUAGGUUGGGUAAUGGCUCACCUAGGCGACGAUCCCUAGCUGGUCUGAGAGGAUGACCAGCCACACUGGAACUGAGACACGGUCCAGACUCCUACGGGAGGCAGCAGUGGGGAAUAUUGCACAAUGGGCGCAAGCCUGAUGCAGCCAUGCCGCGUGUAUGAAGAAGGCCUUCGGGUUGUAAAGUACUUUCAGCGAGGAGGCGUUACUCGCAGAAUAAGCACCGGCUAACUCCGUGCCAGCAGCCGCGGUAAUAC
rnacentral:rRNA from 1 species